CGUGAGAUGUUUGGGUUAAGUCCCGCAACGAGCGCAACCCCUAUUGUUAGUUGCCAUCAUUCAGUUUGGGCACUCUAGCGAGACUGCCGGUAAUAAACCGGAGGAAGGUGGGGAUGACGUCAAAUCAUCAUGCCCCUUAUGACCUGGGCUACACACGUGCUACAAUGGUUGGUACAACGAGUUGCGAGUCGGUGACGGCAAGCUAAUCUCUUAAAGCCAAUCUCAGUUCGGAUUGUAGGCUGCAACUCGCCUACAUGAAG
rnacentral:rRNA from 1 species